AGAGUUUGAUCAUGGCUCAGAAUCAACGCUGGCGGCGUGCCUAACACAUGCAAGUCGAACGCGAAAACCCCGCAAGGGGCAAGUAGAGUGGCAAACGGGUGAGUAACGCGUGGGUGACCUACCUUCGAGUGGGGGAUAACGUCUCGAAAGGGACGCUAAUACCGCAUGACAUCUUGCCUUUGAACAGGUGAUGAUCAAAGCCGGGAUCGCAAGACCUGGCGCUUGAAGAGGGGCCCGCGUCCGAUUAGCUAGUUGGUGGGGUAACGGCUCACCAAGGCGACGAUCGGUAGCCGGCCUAAGAGGGCGGACGGCCACACUGGGACUGAGACACAGCCCAGACUCCUACGGGAGGCAGCAGUGGGGAAUUGUUCGCAAUGGGCGCAAGCCUGACGACGCAACGCCGCGUGGAGGAUGAAGAUCUUCGGGUCGUAAACUCCUGUCGAGCGGGACGAAAGGCCCGCGACCUAAUACGUCGCGGGAGUGACGGUACCGCUAGAGGAAGCCCCGGCUAACUCCGUGCCAGCAGCCGCGGUA
rnacentral:rRNA from 1 species